UACGUAGGGUGCGAGCGUUGUCCGGAAUUACUGGGCGUAAAGCGCACGUAGGCGGACUACUAAGUCAGGGGUGAAAUCCCGGGGCUCAACCCCGGAACUGCCUUUGAUACUGAGAGUCUCGAGUCCGGAAGAGGUGAGUGGAAUUCCGAGUGUAGAGGUGAAAUUCGUAGAUAUUCGGAGGAACACCAGUGGCGAAGGCGGCUCACUGGUCCGGUACUGACGCUGAGGUGCGAAAGCGUGGGGAGCAAACAGG
rnacentral:rRNA from 1 species